rnacentral:rRNA from 1 species
GUGUAUGAUCCUGGCUCAGGAUGAAACGCUGGCGGUAUGCUUAACACAUGCAAGUCGAACGGGAUACUUAGGUAUUUAGUGGCGGACGGGUGAGUAACGCGUGAGAAUCUGGCCUCAGGUCGGGGACAACCAUUGGAAACGGUGGCUAAUACCGGAUGUGCCUUUGGGUGAAAGAUUAAUUGCCUGAGGAUGAGCUCGCGUCUGAUUAGCUAGUUGGUGGGGUAAAAGCCUACCAAGGCGACGAUCAGUAACUGGUCUGAGAGGAUGGCCAGUCACACUGGGACUGAGACACGGCCCAGACUCCUACGGGAGGCAGCAGUGGGGAAUUUUCCGCAAUGGGCGAAAGCCUGACGGAGCAAUACCGCGUGAGGGAGGAAGGCCCCUUGGAUUGUAA